CACGUAGGGUGCGAGCGUUGUCCGGAAUUAUUGGGCGUAAAGAGCUCGUAGGCGGUUUGUCGCGUCUGCUGUGAAAACUGGAGGCUCAACCUCCAGCCUGCAGUGGGUACGGGCAGACUAGAGUGCGGUAGGGGAGAUUGGAAUUCCUGGUGUAGCGGUGGAAUGCGCAGAUAUCAGGAGGAACACCGAUGGCGAAGGCAGAUCUCUGGGCCGUAACUGACGCUGAGGAGCGAAAGCGUGGGGAGCAAACAGG
rnacentral:rRNA from 1 species